UCAAAUGAGGAGGGAAUCUCACCACUAAAAUUGUUCAUGGAGAGGUCCAAUGAAGAGAGUUUCAUAAGGCUUCCAAGUGUGGAUGGAAUCUCACCAUUAAAAUUGUUAAAGGAGAGGUCCAAUGAAGAGAGCUCCUUAAGGCUUCCAAGUGAGGAUAAAAUUUGACCACUAAGAUUAUUGGAUCUGAGGACCAAAGUAGCAAGCUGUUUAAGGUUUUCAAAAGAGGAUGGAAUCUCACCAUUAAAUUUGUUAAUGGAGAGGUCCAACGAAGAGAGUUCCACAAGGCUUCCAAUUGAGGAUGGAAUUGUGUUGUCCGGGAAUUCCCCUAGCAAUUCACAAGAUGAGAGUGCAAGUGACGAUAAAGAAGAAGAGAAAUUCAUAAAAGAACUGGGUUCAACCAUAGACAUGUUCACUGCAAUCAAGUGGAAGUCUCUUAUCUUGGUUAGAUUUCUAACAAGCUUGUCAAAAAUCAUUGGUUCUAAUGUCAAACCACCAUAAGAAGAAAGCUGAAGUGAAACCAAUUUGGAUAGAUGACUGAUAUCUGGGAAUUUUCCUUGAAAUAUGCAAUACCUAAGUUUGAGAGAUGUCAAAGAAGAAGACAAAUUCAUCAAGGAACUAGGUGCGUCCAAAGGCAUGUUUACAUAACUCAAGUCCAAUUCCUGUAAAUGGGUUAGGUUUUGAGCAAGCUUCUUAAAAAUAGUGGUUUCUAGCAUCAAACCAUUAUUCCAAGAAAGAUCAAGAGAUACCAAACCAGACAGAUAAGAAAUUUCUAGUGGAAUU
rnacentral:misc_RNA from 1 species